GGCUAGGUGGCGGAGUGGUUAACGCGAUAGACUCGAAUUAUGUGAUCUAUUUCCUUCGGGAGCGUCUGUUCGAAUCAGGCCCUAGUCG